rnacentral:lncRNA from 1 species
CACGUCCAUUUCGAUAAAUUCUCUCAACCCGCCGGAGAAGAGGCUCAAGUAGAUGACUCAAAAAUAGGUAACUUCUUCUUGGAAACAGACCUGCAUCCAGGUAAAAAAAUGAAGCUGAACUUGGCCACAACUACAAAUGGAGCUGUUUUCUUGCCUCAUCAAGUUGCUGAAUCCAUGCCCUUUUCAUCCAACAAGCUACCCGAAAUCUUGAACCGGUUUUCCUGAAAGAAAAAUCCGCAGAAGCCGAAAUAGUAAAGAAGGAGCUAGAGGCCUGUGAGGAGCCUGCCAUGGAAGGAUAAGCCAGGUACUGUNNNNNNNNNNNNNNNNNNNNNNNNNNNNNNNNNNNNNNNNNNNNNNNNNNNNNNNNNNNNNNNNNNNNNNNNNNNNNNNNNNNNNNNNNNNNNNNNNNNNCAUUCACAUUCCUUCCAAGCUUUGAAGUGCUGAAAUGGAUUAGGGACUCUAAUGAUGUUGCACAGUACCUGGCUUCUCCUUCCAUGGCAGGCUCCUCACAGACCUCUAGCUCCUUCUUUAUUAUCUCAGCUUCUGCGGAUUUUUCUUUCAGGGAAAAUCGGUUCAAGAUUUUGGGUAGCUUGUUGGAUGAAAAGGGCAUGGAUUCAGCAACUUGACAGCCAGGAGUAUGAGUUUGGAGUGGGGAUGAAGAAGGUUGCAGACAAAUCAGUGGUGUGCCAUAAGAUGAACUACCCAUAUGCUGUUUUCUACUGCCAUACCUUCACUAAGACACGGACUUACAUGAUUCCAUUGGUGGGUGUUGAUGGAAGCAAAUCUAAAGCCAUGGCAGCUUGUCACAGUGAUACAUCAGCUUGGCACCCACAGCAUGUGGCCUUCCAAGUGCUCAAAAUUAAGCCAGGAACGGUCCCAGUCUGCCAUUUCCUUCACAACAAUGCCAUGGUCUGGAUUCCAAAGUAAGAAUCAGCCUCAAGCCUCAAGCCCAGUUGCAUUAUCAGUUCCAUCUUAAAGCUGUUUGUAGUAUGAAUGGUUAGAAUAAAAAAUUAAAUAAAAAAAAACUUUAUUAAAUAAAUAAACUUUAGUUAUUUUAUUUUUAAUUAUAUUAAUUUAUUAAUUAAAAUAUAGACGCCCGGUUUCAUCAUAUUAAAAUAUAUUGGUAUGAUAUUUUAUUAAUAAGGCCACUAAUUUUAUAAAUUAAAUAUGAUGAACAACAUUUUGAGAAUCAAAGAUGUGCCUCCAUUUGGAAAUUUCACACGAGAUUUUGGGCAUGUCACCUAUUUUAUUCCCAAAGGGUUGACUAAGAAAAACAGUAGAGCAUGUCACCUAAUCACACGAGCUUAGUGAUUUCGGGACCCUCUUCUGACAAUAAAUGAGCCACUAUUUCAUUUAAAAACCCAUAACAAAGUGAUUUUGGCCCGAUCCCCACUUCGGUUCACACAUUGGAACCCUUGGUACAUCCGUUACAAAAUUUGGUACAUCCUUCACAAAAUUUGGUACAUCCUUCAAAAAAUUUAGUACAUCCUUCAUUAAAUUUGGUACAUCCGAUCUGACAGAUUCCGAGGCCCCCAUUUCAACAUGGAUGGUCCAUAAUUACUUUUAGAAACCCAUAACAAAGUGAUUUUGGACCGAUCCCCACUUUGGUUCACACAUUGGAACCCUUGGUACAUCAUUUACAAAAUUUGGUACAUCCUUCACAAAAUUUGGUACAUCCUUUACAAAAUUUAGUACACCCUUCAUUAAAUUUGGUACAUCCGAUCUGACAGAUUCCGAGGCCCCCAUUUCAACAUGGAUAGUCCAUAAUUACUUUUAGAAACCCAUAACAAAGUGAUUUGGGGCCGAUCCCAACUUCGCAACGCAUUUUUAGACCCUUCGUACAUCCUUAACAAACUUUGGUACAUCUGAGUUUAGUGAUUCCGAGGCCCUAUUCUGACCAUGGAUGAGCCACUAUUUCAUUUAAAAACCCAUAACAAAGUGAUUUGGGCCCGAUCCCCACUUCGGUUCACACUUUGGAACCCUUGGUACAUCCUUUAUAAAUUUGGUACAUCCUUAAAAAAAUUUGGUACAUCCUUCAUUAAAUUUGGUACAUCUGAUCUGACAGAUUCCGAGACCCUCAUUUCAAAAUGGAUGGUCCAUAAUUGCUUUUAGAAACCCAUAACAAUGUGAUUUGGGGCCGAUCCCCACUUCGGAACGCAUUUUUAGACCCUUCGUACAUCCUUAACAAAAUUUGGUACAUCCGAGCUUAGUGAUUCCGGGACCCUCUUCUGACCAUGGAUGAGCCACUAUUUCAUUUAAAAACCCAUAACAAAGUGAUUUGGGCCCGAUCCCCAUUUCGGUUCACACUUUGGAACCCUUGGUACAUCCUUUAUAUAUUUGGUACAUCCUUCAAAAAAUUUGGUACAUCCUUCAUUAAAUUUGGUACAUCUGAUCUGACAGAUUCCGAGACCCUCAUUUCAAAAUGGAUGGUCCAUAAUUGCUUUUAGAAACCCAUAACAAUGUGAUUUGGGGCCGAUCCCCACUUCGGAACGCAUUUUUAGACCCUUCGUACAUCCUUAACAAAAUUUGGUACAUCCGAGCUUAGUGAUUGCGGGACCCUAUUCUGACCAUGGAUGAGCCAUUAUUUCAUUUAAAAACCCAUAACAAAGUGAUUUGGGCCCGAUCCCCACUUCGGUUCACACAUUGGAACCCUUGGUACAUCCUUUACAAAAUUUGGUACAUCCUUCACAAAAUUUGGUACAUCCUUCACAAAAUUUGAUACAUCCUUCAUUAAAUUUGGUACAUCCGAUCCGACAGAUUCUGAGGCCCCCAUUUUAACAUGGAUGGUCCAUAAUUACUUUUAGAAACCCAUAACAAAGUGAUUUGGGGCCGAUCCCCAAUUCGGAACGCAUUUUUAGACCCUUGGUACAUCCUUAACAAAAUUUGGUACAUCCGAGCUUAGUGAUUCCGGGACCCUCUUCUGACCAUGGAUGAGCCACUAUUUCAUUUAAAAACCCAUAACAAAGUGAUUUGGGCCCGAUCCCCACUUCGGUUCACACUUUGGAACCCUUGGUACAUCCUUUACAAAAUUUGGUACAUCCUUCACAAAAUUUGGUACAUCCUUCAUUAAAUUUGGUACAUCUGAUCCGACAGAUUCCGAGACCCCCAUUUCAAAAUGGAUGGUCCAUAAUUUCUUUUAGAAGCCCAUAAAAAAGUGAUUUGGGGCCGAUCCCCACUUCGGAACGCAUUUUUAGACCCUUCGUAUAUCCUUAACAAAAUUUGGUACAUCCGAGCUUAGUGAUUCCGGGACCCUCUUCUGACCAUGGAUGAGCCACUAUUUCAUUUAAAAACCCAUAACAAAGUGAUUUGGGCCCGAUCUCCACUUCGGUUCACACAUUGGAAUUACAAAAUUUGGCACAUCCUUCACAGAAUUAGGCACAUCCUUCACAAAAUUAGGUACAUCCUUCAUUAGAUUUGGUACAUCCGAUCCGACAGAUUCUGAGGCCCCCAUUUUAACGGUCCAUAAUUACUUUUAGAAACCCAUACCAAAGUGAUUUNNNNNNNNNNNNNNNNNNNNNNNNNNNNNNNNNNNNNNNNNNNNNNNNNNNNNNNNNNNNNNNNNNNNNNNNNNNNNNNNNNNNNNNNNNNNNNNNNNNNAUUCCGGGACCCUCUUCUGACCAUGGAUGAGCCACUAUUUCAUUUAAAAACCCAUAACAAAGUGAUUUGGGCCCGAUCUCCACUUCGGUUCACACAUUGGAAUUACAAAAUUUGGUACAUCCUUCACAAAAUUUGGUACAUCCUUCACAAAAUUUGGUACAUCCUUCAUUAAAUUUGGUACAUCCGAUCCGAAAGAUUCUGAGGCCCCCAUUUUAACAUGGAUGGUCCAUAAUUACUUUUAGAAACCCAUAACAAAGUGAUUUGGGGCCGAUCCCCAAUUCGGAACGCAUUUUUAGACCCUUGGUACAUCCUUAACAAAAUUUGGUACAUCCGAGCUUAGUGAUUCCAGGACCCUCUUCUGACCAUGGAUGAGCCACUAUUUCAUUUAAAAACCCAUAACAAAGUGAUUUGGGCCCGAUCCCCACUUCGGUUCACACUUUGGAACCCUUGGUACAUCCUUUACAAAAUUUGGUACAUCCUUCACAAAAUUUGGUACAUCCUUCAUUAAAUUUGGUACAUCUGAUCCGACAGAUUCCGAGACCCCCAUUUCAAAAUGGAUGGUCCAUAAUUGCUUUUAGAAGCCCAUAAAAAAGUGAUUUGGGGCCGAUCCCCACUUCGGAACGCAUUUUUAGACCCUUCGUAUAUCCUUAACAAAAUUUGGUACAUCCGAGCUUAGUGAUUCCGGGACCCUCUUCUGACCAUGGAUUAGCCACUAUUUCAUUUAAAAACCCAUAACAAAGUGAUUUGGGCCCGAUCUCCACUUCGGUUCACACAUUGGAAUUACAAAAUUUGGUACAUCCUUCACAAAAUUUGGUACAUCCUUCACAAAAUUUGGUACAUCCUUCAUUAAAUUUGGUACAUCCGAUCCGACAGAUUCUGAGGCCCCCAUUUUAACAUGGAUGGUCCAUAAUUACUUUUAGAAACCCAUAACAAAGUGAUUUGGGGCCGAUCCCCAAUUCGGAACGCAUUUUUAGACCCUUGGUACAUCCUUAACAAAAUUUGGUACAUCCCAGCUUAGUGAUUCCGGGACCCUCUUCUGACCAUGGAUGAGCCACUAUUUCAUUUAAAAACCCAUAACAAAGUGAUUUGGGCCCGAUCCCCACUUCGGUUCACACUUUGGAACCCUUGGUACAUCCUUUACAAAAUUUGGUACAUUCUUCACAAAAUUUGGUACAUCCUUCAUUAAAUUUGGUAUAUCCGAUCCGACAGAUUCCAAGACUCCCAUUUCAACAUGGAUGGUCCAUAAUUGCUUUUAGAAACCCUUAACAAAGUGAUUUAGGGCCGAUCCCCACUUCGCAACGCAUUUUUAGACCCUUCGUACAUCCUUAACAAAAUUUGGUAUAUCCGAGCUUAGUGAUUCCGGGACCCUCUUCUGCCCAUGGAUGAGCCACUAUUUCAUUUGAAAACCCAUAACAAAGUGAUUUGGGCCCGAUCCCCACUUCGGUUCACACUUUGGAACCCUUGGUACAUCCUUUACAAAAUUUGGUAAAGCCUUCACAAAAUUUGGUACAUCCUUCAUUAAAUUUGGUACAUCCGAUCCAACAGAUUCCGAGACCCCCAUUUCAACAUUGAUGGUCCAUAAUUUAUUUUAGAAACCCAUAACAAAGUGAUUGGGAGUCGAUCCUCACUUAGAAAUGCAUUUUCAGACUCUCGGUACAUUCUUCACAAAAGUUGGUACAUUCUUCAUUAAAUUUGGUGCAUCCGAGCCUAGUGAUUUCGGGACCCCCUUUUGACCAUGGGUGAGCCACUAUUUCAUUUAGAAACCCAUAACAAAGUGAUUUGGGGCUGAUCCCCACUUCGGUUCGCACUUUGGAACUCUUGGUACAUCCUUAACAAAAUUUGGUACAUUUUUAAUUAAAUUUGGUACAUCCUUCAUUAAAUAUGGUACAUCGGAUCCGAUAGAUUCCGAGACCCCCAUUUCAACAUGGAUGGACCAUAAUUGCUUUUAGAAACCCAUAACAAAAUGAUUGGGUGUCGAUCCCCACUUCGUGACUCAUUUUUGGACCUUUAGUACAUCUUUCAUUAAAUUUGGUGCAUCGGAGCUUAAUGAUUCUGGGACCUUCUUCUGACCAUGGAUGAGCCACUAUUUCAUUUAAAAACCCAUAACAAAGUGAUUUGGGUCUGAUCCCCACUUCGGUUCACACUUUGGAACCCUUGGUACAUCCUUUACAAAAUUUGGUAAAUCCUUCACAAAAUUUGGUACAUCCUUCAUUAAAUUUGGUACAUCCGAUCCGACAGAUUCCGAGACCACCAUUUCAAUAUGGAUGGUCCAUAAUUUCUUUUAGAAACCCAUAACAAAGUGAUUUGGGACCGAUCCCCACUUCACAACGCAUUUUUGGACCCUUCGUACAUCCUUAACAAAAUUUGGUACAUCCGAGCUUAGUGAUUCCGGGACCCUCUUCUGCCCAUGGAUGAGCCACUAUUUCAUUUAAAAACCCAUAACAAAGUGAUUUGGGCUCGAUCCGCACUUCGGUUCACACUUUGGAACCCUUGGUACAUCGUUAAGAAAAUUUGGUACAUCCUUCACAAAAUUUGGUACAUCCUUCAUUAAAUUUGGUACAUCCGAUCCGACAGAUUCCGAGACCCCAUUUCAACAUGGAUGGUCCAUAAUUUCUUUUAGAAACCCAUAACAAAGUGAUUGGGAGUCGAUCCUCACUUCGAAAUGCAUUUUCGAACCCUCGGUACAUUCUUCAGAAAAUUUGGUACAUCCUUCAUUAAAUUUGGUACAUCCGAGCCUAGUGAUUUAGGGGACCCCCUUUUGACAAUGGAUGUGCCACUAUUUCAUUUAUAAACCCAUAACAAAGUGAUUUGGAGCCGAUCCCCACUUCGGAUCGCACUUUGGAACCCUUGGUACAUCCUUAACAAAAUUUGGUACAUUCUUAAUUAAAUUUGGUACAUCCUUCAUUAAAUUUGGUACAUCUGAUCCGAUAGAUUCCGAGACCCCCAUUUCAACAUGGAUGGUCCAUAUUUGCUUUUGGAAACCCAUAACAAAGUAAUUCGGGGUCCAUCCCCACUUCGUGACUCAUUUUCGGACCCUUAGUACAUCCUUCAUUAAAUUUGGUACAUCCGAGCUUAGUAAUUUCGGAACCCUCUUCUGACCAUGGAUGAGCCACUAUUUCAUUUAAAAACCCAUAACAAAGUGAUUUGGGUCUGAUCCCCACUUCGGUUCACACUUUGGAACCCUUGGUACAUCCUUUACAAUAUUUGGUACAUCCUUCAGAAAAUUUGGUACAUCCUUCACAAAAUUUGGUACAUCCUUCAUUAAAUUUGGUACAUCCGAUCCGAAAGAUUCCGAGGCCCCCAUUUCAACAUGGAUGGUCCAUAAUUACUUUUAGAAACCCAUAAACAAGUGAUUUGGGGCCGAUCCCCAAUUCGGAACGCAUUUUUAGACCCUUCGUACAUUCUUAACAAAAUUUGGUACAUACGAGCUUAGUGAUUCCGGGACCCUCUUCUGACCAUGGAUGAGCCACUAUUUCAUUUUAAAACCCAUAACAAAGUGAUUUGUCCCCGAUCCCCACUUCGAAUCACACUUUGGAACCCUUGGUACAUCAUUUACAAAAUUUGGUACAUCAUUCACAAAAUUUGGUACACCCUUCAUUAAAUUUGGUAUAUCCAAUCCGAUAGAUUCCGAGAGCCCCAUUUCAACAUGUAUGGUCCAUAAUUGCUUUUAGAAACCCAUAACAAACUAAUUUGGGGCCGAUCCCCACUUAAGAAACCAUUUGUAGACCCUUCGUACAUCCAUAACAAAAUUUGGUACAUCCGAGCUUAGUGAUUCCAGGACCCUCUUCUGACCAUGGAUGAGCCACUAUUUCAUUUAAAAACCCAUAAUAAAGUGAUUUGGGCCCGAUCCCCACUUCGAUUAACACUUUGGAACCCGUGGUACAUCCUUAACAAAAUUUGGUACAUCCUUCACAAAAUUUGGUACAUCCUUCAUUAAAUUUGGUACAUCCGAUCCAACAGAUUCCGAGACCCCCAUUUCAACAUGGAUGGUCCAUAAUUUCUUUUAGAAACCCAUAACAAAGUGAUUGGGAGUCGAUCCUCACUUCGAAAUGCAUUUUUGGAUCCUCGGUACAUUCUUCACAAAAUUUGGUACAUCCUUCAUUAAAUUUGGUACAUCCGAGCCUAGUGAUUUCGGGACACCCUUUUGACCAUGGGUGAGCCACUAUUUCAUUUAGAAACCCAUAACAAAGUGAUUUGGGGCCGAUCCCCACUUUGGAUCGCACUUUGGAACCCUUGGUAGAUCCUUAACAAAAUUUGGUACAUUCUUAAUUAAAUUUGGUACAUCCUUCAUUAAAUAUGGUACAUCUGAUCCGAUAGAUUCCGAGACCCCCAUUUCAACAUGGAUGGUCCAUAAUUUCUUUUAGAAACCCAUAACAAAGUGAUUGGGUGUCGAUCCCCACUUCGUGACUCAUUUUUGGACCCUUAGUACAUCUUUAAUUAAAUUUCGUACAUCCGAGCUUAGUGAUUCCGGGACCUUCUUCUGACCAUGGAUGAGCCACUAUAUCAUUUAAAAACCUAUAACAAAGUGAUUUGGGCCCGAUCCCCACUUCGGUUCACACUUUAGAACCCUUGGCACAUCCUUUACAAAAUUUGGUACAUCCUUCAGAAAAUUUGGUACAUUCUUCAUUAAAUUUGGUACAUCCGAUCCGACAGAUUCCGAGACCCCCAUUUCAACAUGGAUGGUCCAUAAUUGCUUUUAGAAACCCAUAACAAAGUGAUUUGGGCCCGAUCCCCACUUCGGUUCACACUUUGGAACCCUUGGUACAUCCUUUACAAAAUUUGGUACAUCCUUCACAAAAUUUGGUACAUCCUUCAUUAAAUUUGGUACAUCCGAUACGACAAAUUGCGAGACCCCCAUUUCAACAUGGAUGGUCCAUAAUUGCUUUUAGAAACCCAUUACAAAGUGAUUAUGGGCCGAUCCCCACUUCGGAACGCAUUUUUAGACCCUUCGUACAUCUUUAACAAAAUUUGGUACAUCCCAGCUUAGUGAUUCCGGGACCCUCUUCUGACCAUGGAUGAGCCACUAUUUCAUUUAAAAACCCAUAACAAAGUGAUUUGGGCCCGAUCCUUACUUCGGUUCACACUUUGGAACCCUUGGUACAUCCUUUACAAAAUUUGGUACAUCCUUCACAAAAUUUGGUACAUCCUUCAUUAAAUUUGGUACAUCCGAUCCAACAGAUUCCGAGACCCCCAUUUCAACAUGGAUGGUCCAUAAUUUAUUUUAGAAACCCAUAACAAAGUGAUUGGGAGUCGAUCCUCACUUAGAAAUGCAUUUUCAGACUCUCGGUACAUUCUUCACAAAAGUUGGUACAUUCUUCAUUAAAUUUGGUGCAUCCGAGCCUAGUGAUUUCGGGACCCCCUUUUGACCAUGGGUGAGCCACUAUUUCAUUUAGAAACCCAUAACAAAGUGAUUUGGGGCUGAUCCCCACUUCGGUUCGCACUUUGGAACUCUUGGUACAUCCUUAACAAAAUUUGGUACAUUUUUAAUUAAAUUUGGUACAUCCUUCAUUAAAUAUGGUACAUCGGAUCCGAUAGAUUCCGAGACCCCCAUUUCAACAUGGAUGGACCAUAAUUGCUUUUAGAAACCCAUAACAAAAUGAUUGGGUGUCGAUCCCCACUUCGUGACUCAUUUUUGGACCUUUAGUACAUCUUUCAUUAAAUUUGGUGCAUCGGAGCUUAAUGAUUCUGGGACCUUCUUCUGACCAUGGAUGAGCCACUAUUUCAUUUAAAAACCCAUAACAAAGUGAUUUGGGUCUGAUCCCCACUUCGGUUCACACUUUGGAACCCUUGGUACAUCCUUUACAAAAUUUGGUAUAUGCUUCACAAAAUUUGGUACAUCCUUCAUUAAAUUUGGUACAUCCGAUCCGACAGAUUCCGAGACCCCCAUUUCAACAUGGAUGGUCCAUAAUUGCAUUUAGAAACCCAUAACAAAGUGAUUUGGGGACGAUCCUCACUUCGGAACGCAUUUUUAGACCUUUCGUACAUCCUUAAUAAAAUUUGGUACAUCCGAGAUUAGUGAUUCCGAGACCCUCUUCUGACCAUGGAUGAGCCACUAUUUCAUUUAAAACCCCAUAAUAAAGUGAUUUGGGACCGAUCCCCACUUUGGAACCCUUGGUACAUCCUUAACAACAUUUGGUACACACUUCACAAAAUUUGGUACAUCCUUAAUUAAAUUUGGUACAUCCGAUCCAACAGAUUCCGAGACCCCCAUUUCAACAUGGAUGGUCCAUAAUUUCUUUUAGAAACCCAUAACAAAGUGAUUGGGAGUCGAUCCUCACUUCGAAAUGCAUUUUCGGACCCUCGGUACAUUCUUCACAACAUUUGGUACAUCCUUCAUUAAAUUUGGUACAUCCGAGCCUAGUGAUUUCGGGACCCCCUUUUGACCAUGGGCGAGCCACUAUUUCAUUUAGAAACCCAUAACAAAGUUAUUUGGGGCCAAUCCCCACUUUGGUUCGCAUUUUGGAACCCUUGGUACAUCCAUAACAAAAUUUGGUACAUUCUUAAUUAAAUUUGGUACAUCCUUCAUUAAAUUUGGUACAUCCGAUCCAACAGAUUUUGAGACCCCCAUUUCAACAUGGAUGGUCCAUCAUUGCUUUUAGAAACCCAUAACAAAGUUAUGUGGGCCCGAUCCCCACUUCGGAUCGCACUUUGGAACCAUUGGUACAUCCUUCACAAAAUUUGGUACAUCCUUAAUUAAAUUUGGUACAUCCUUCUUUAAAUUUGGUACAUGCGAUCCGAUGUAUUCCGACACGCCCAUUUCAACAUGGAUGGUCCAUAAUUGCUUUUAGAAACCCAUAACAAAGUGAUUUGGGGCUGAUCCCCACUUCUGAACGCAUUUUUAGACCCUUGGUACGUCCUUAACAACAUUUGGUACAUCCGAGCUUAGUGAUUCCGGGACCCUCUUCUGACCAUGGAUGAGCCACUAUUUGAUUUAAAAACCCAUAACAAAGUGAUUUGGGUCGGAUCCCCACUUCGGUUUACACUUUGGAACCAUUGGUACAUCAUUUAAAAAAUUUGGUACAUCAUUCACAAAAUUUGGUACAUCCUUCAUUAAAUUUGGUACAUCCGAUCCGACAGAUUCUGAGACCCCACUUUCAACAUGGAUGGUCCAUAAUUGCUUUUAGAAACCCAUAACAAAGUGAUUUAGGGCCGAUCCCCACUUCGGAACGCAUUUUUCGACCCUUUGUACAUCCUUAAUAAAAUUUGGUACAUCCGAGCUUAGUGAUUCGGGGACCCUCUUCUGACCAUGGAUGAACCACUAUUUCAUUUAAAAACCCAUAAUAAAGUGAUUAUGGCCCGAUCCCCACUUCGGUUCACACUUUGGAACCCUUGGUACAUCCUUAACAAAAUUUGGUACAUCCUUGACAAAAUUUGGUACAUCCUUCAUUAAAUUUGGUACAUCCGAUCCAACAGAUUCCGAGACCCCCAUUUCAACAUGGAUGGUCCAUAAUUUCUUUUAGAAACCCAUAACAAAGUGAUUGGGAGUCGAUCCUCACUUCGAAAUGCAUUUUCGGACCCUCGGUACAUUCUUCACAAAAUUUGGUACAUCCUUCAUUAAAUUUGGUACAUCCGAGCCUAGUGAUUUCGGGACACCCUUUUGACCAUGGGUGAGCCACUAUUUCAUUUAGAAACCCAUAACAAAGUGAUUUGGGGCUGAUCCCCACUUUGGAACGCACUUUUAAACCCUUGGUACAUCCUUAACAAAAUUUGGUACAUNNNNNNNNNNNNNNNNNNNNNNNNNNNNNNNNNNNNNNNNNNNNNNNNNNNNNNNNNNNNNNNNNNNNNNNNNNNNNNNNNNNNNNNNNNNNNNNNNNNNACAAAAUUUGGUACAUCCUUCACAAAAUUUGGUACAUCCAUCAUUAAAUUUGGUACAUCCGAUCCGACAGAUUCUGAGACCCCCAUUUCAACAUGGAUGGUCCAUAAUUGCUUUUAGAAACCCAUUACAGAGUGAUUUGGGGCCGAUCCCCACUUCGGAACGCAUUUUUAGACCCUUCGUACAUCUUUAACAAAAUUUGGUACAUCCCAGGUUAGUAAUUCCGGGACCCUCUUCUGACCAUGGAUGAGCCACUAUUUCAUUUAAAAACCCAUAACAAAGUGAUUUGGGCCCGAUCCUCACUUUGGUUCACACUUUGGAACCCUUGGUACAUCCUUUACAAAAUUUGGUACAUCCUUCAUAAAAUUUGGUACAUCCUUCAUUAAAUUUGGGACAUCCGAUCCGACAGAUUCUGAGACCCCCAUUUCAACAUGGAUGGUCCAUAAUUGCUUUUAGAAACCCAUAACAAAGUGAUUUGGGGCCGAUCCCCACUUCGGAACGCAUUUUUAGACCCUUCGUACAUCCUUAAUAAAAUUUGGUGCAUUCGAGCUUAGUGAUUCCGGGACCCUCUUCUGACCAUGGAUGAGCCACUAUUUCAUUUAAAAACCUAUAAUAAAGUGAUUUGGACCCGAUCCCCACUUCGGUUCACACUUUGGAACCCUUGGUACAUCCUUAACAAAAUUUCCUACAUCCUUCCCAAAAUUUGGUACAUCCUUCAUUAAAUUUGGUACAUCCGAUCCAACAGAUUCCGAGACCCCCAUUUCAACAUGGAUGAUUUAUAAUUUAUUUUAGAAACCCAUAACAAAGUGAUUGGGAGUCGAUCCUCACUUCGAAAUGCAUUUUCAGACCCUCGGUACAUUCUUCACAAAAUUUGGUACAUUCUUCAUUAAAUUUGGUGCAUCCGAGCCUAGUGAUUUCGGGACCCCCUUUUGACCAUGGGUGAGCCACUAUUUCAUUAAGAAACCCAUAACAAAGUGAUUUGGGGCUGAUCCCCACUUCGGUUCGCACUUUGGAACCCUUGGUACAUCCUUAACAAAAUUUGGUACAUUCUUAAUUAAAUUUGGUACAUCCUUCAUUAAAUAUGGUACAUCUGAUCCGAUAGAUUCCGAGACCCCCAUUUCAACAUGGAUGGUCCAUAAUUGCUUUUAGAAACCCAUAACAAAGUGAUUGGGUGUCGAUCCCCACUUCGUGACUCAUUUUUGGACCCUUAGUACAUCUUUCAUUAAAUUUGGUACAUCCGAGCUUAGUGAUUCCGGGACCUUCUUCUGACCAUGGAUGAGCCAUUAUUUCAUUUAAAAACCCAUAACAAAGUGAUUUGGGCCUGAUCCCCACUUCGGUUCACACUUUGGUACCCUUGGUACAUCCUUUACAAAAUUUGGUACAUGCUUCACAAAAUUUGGUACAUCCUUCAUUAAAUUUGGUACAUCCGAUCCGACAGAUUCCGAGACCCCCAUUUCAACAUGGAUGGUCCAUAAUUGCAUUUAGAAACCCAUAACAAAGUGAUUUGGGGCCGAUCCUCACUUCGGAACGCAUUUUUAGACCCUUCGUACAUCCUUAAUAAAAUUUGGUACAUCUGAGCUUAGUGAUUCCGGGACCCUCUUCUGACCAUGGAUGAGCCACUAUUUCAUUUGAAAACCAAUAACAAAGUGAUUUGGGCCCGAUCCCCACUUUGAUUCACACUUUGGAACCUUUGGUACAUCGUUAACAAAAUUUGGUACAUCUUUCACAAAAUUUGGUACAUCCUUCAUUAAAUUUGGUACAUCCGAUCCGACAGAUUCCGAGACCCCCAUUUCAACAUGGAUGAUCCAUAAUUUCUUUUAGAAACCCAUAACAAAGUGAUUGGGAGUCAAUCCUCACUUCGAAAUGCAUUUUCGGACACUCGGUACAUUCUUCACAAAAUUUGGUACAUCCUUCAUUAAAUUUGGUACAUCCGAGCCUAGUGAUUUUAGGACCCCCUUUUGACGAUGGAUGAGCCACUAUUUCAUUUAUAAACCCAUAACAAAGUGAUUUGGGGCCGAUCCCGACUUCGGAUCGCACUUUGGAACCCUUGGUACAUCCUUAACAAAAUUUGGUACAUUCUUAAUUAAAUUUGGUACAUCCUUCAUUAAAUUUAGUACAUCCGAUCCGAUAGAUUCCGAGACCCCCAUUUCAACAUGGAUGGUCCAUAAUUGCUUUUAGAAACCCAUAACAAAGUGAUUGGGGGUCGAUCCCGACUUCGUGACUCAUUUUCGGACCCUUAGUACAUCCUUCAUUAAAUUUGGUAUAUCCGAGUUUAGUGAUUCCGGGACCCUCUUCUGACCAUGGAUGAGCCACUAUUUCAUUUAAAAACCCAUAACAAAGUGAUUUGGGCCCGAUCCCACUUCGGUUCACACUUUGGAACCCUUGGUACAUCCUUUACAAAAUUUGGUACAUCCUUCACAAAAUUUGGUACAUCCUUUAUUAAAUUUGGUACAUCUGAUCCGACAGAUUCCGAGACCCCCAUUUCAACAUGGAUGGUCCAUAAUUGCUUUUAGAAACCCAUAACAAAGUGAUUUGGGGCCGAUCCCCACUUCGGAACGCAUUUUUAGAUCCUUGGUACAUCCUUAAUAAAAUUUGGUACAUUCGAGCUUAGUGAUUCCGAGACCCUCUUCUGACCAUGGAUGAGCCACUAUUUCAUUUAAAAACCCAUAACAAAGUGAUAUGGGCCCGAUCCUUACUUCGGUUCACACUUUGGAACCCUUGGUACAUCCUUAACAAAAUUUGGUACAUCCUUCACAAAAUUUAGUACAUCCGAUCCGAUAGAUUCCGAGACCAGUAUUUCAACAUGGAUGGUCCAUGAUUUCUUUAAGAAACCCAUAACAAAGUGAUUGGGAGUCGAUCCUCACUUCGAAACGUAUUUUCGGACCCUCGGUACAUUCUUCACAAAAUUUGGUACAUCCUUCAUUAAAUUUGGUACAUCCGAGCCUAGUGAUUUUGGGACGCCCUUUUGACCAUGGAUGAGCCACUAUUUAAUUUAGAAACCCAUAACAAAGUGAUAUGGGGCCGAUCCCUACUUCGGAUCGCACUUUGGAACCAUUGGUACAUCCUUCACAAAAUUUGGUACAUCCUUAAUUAAAUUUGAUACAUCCUUCAUUAAAUUUGGUACAUCUGAUCCGAUGUAUUCCGAGACCCCCAUUUCAACAUGGACGGUCCAUAAUUGCUUUUAGAAACCCAUAACAAAGUGAUUUGGGGCCGAUCCCCACUUCGGAACUCAUUUUUAGACCCUUGGUACAUCCUUAACAACAUUUGGUACAUCCGAGCUUAGUGAUUCCGGGACCCUCUUCUGACCAUGGAUGAGCCACUAUUUCAUUUAAAAACCCAUAACAAAGUGAUUUGGGCCCGAUCCCCACUUCGGUUCACACUUUGGAACCCUUGUACAUCCUUAAACAUUUUAUAGAAUUAUUAUCAAAUACAAUAUGAGAAUUAUUAUUAAAAACAUUUUUGACUUUUUUAAUACUUGAAAGAUAAAAAUUUUGAAAUAUUAAAAGUACUCCUUAAAGUCACAACCAAAUGGAUCUUUUGAAUAUAUUAAACAAUGAUUUUAAAAAACUCUUUUAACCUUAAAAACAUUUUAAAACAAAAUUAAGUGUUUGAAAAAUUUUAUCAAAUAUUUUUAAAAAUCUUAAAAAUUACUUAUAAUAUGAAAAAAUUAGAUUUUUUUUAAGAAACCUUUAUUAUUAAUUUCUCAUCCAUUUUUUUUGUUUUUGUUUUUGACAAGAAAUCAUUUCUAAGUACGGGGAUUCCCACACAUUUUCACAAUAUUUGAAUAAGGGAUUGGCAGUUAGCGUGGGUCCUAUAGUUGAUUGCUAUUUUAAGAUCGGCCCAUUAUCUUCCUCAAUUACUCCAUUUUAUAUUUUUCUAUUUUUGAAAGAAUCUUUACAGAUCUUCAAUAAUUAAUGAGAAGUACUAUCUUCCUCAUCCCAUUCCUCCCCCUCUCACUCUCUUUACGUCUUUAAAGUAAGUGGUAGGGUUGGCUUUUUUGAGUUAGAGUUGGUACAAUAAAAAGGGAAAUGGAAUUAUUGCCUUUUCAUCCAGAUGAGCAGCCACAAUCAUUUACUUCAAAAGAAUCAAAACAUCUCCCUUUUGCAGUGAAAGACAUGUGAAAUUCAUUGAGUUUGAAUUUCAAUAAAUUUGAAUUGAAUUUGAAUUUGAAUUUACCAAUUCAAGGUAAUGGGGCAGUCGUCAAAAGUGGAUUUUAAGACAAUAAGUUUGAAGAAGUUUAUGUUUGGGUAUCAAAAAAUUAAACCAAAAAUGGAAGGGAAGGAAAAAAAAAUAAUUUAAAAUUAAUAAAUUAUAUUUAUAUAUUUUUUUAAAAAGUAUUCUACUUAUUUUCUUUUAUUACAUAAAAAUAAAAAAUAAUUUAUAAAUUUAUAAAUUUUUAAUUAGUAAAAUGAUGCCUAUAAUUGCAAAACAACAUUGAUUAUAUUGUUACAAAUUUUGUAUUCAAAAUAAAAUUGGAUGUCAUUCAUGAGUUUGGUAGUGGUUUUAAAAUUUUUUUUUUUUAUAUUUAUAACAUAUGAAGAUUUUUAUUUUUUAAAUAUUCAAAAUAUUAAAAAUAUUUCAUAAAAUUAUUAUCAAACGGAUAGUGGUUGUGAAAAACGUUUUUAUCUUUUGUAAUAUUUAAAAGAUAAAUUUUUUGAAAUGUUAAAAAUAUUAAAAGUAUUUCGUACAAUCACUAUUAAACGAGUUAUUAGAGUGUGUUUGAGAGCCCAUUUGAUAGUAAUUUUAUGAAGCGCUUCUAACCCUUUUAACACUUGAAAUUUUUUAUCAUUCAAGUGUUAUAAAUACUAUAAACAUUUUAUAGAAUUAUUAUCAAAUACAAUAUGAGAAUUAUUAUUAAAAACAUUUUUGGUUUUUUUAAUACUUGAAAGAUAAAAAUUUUGAAAUAUUAAAAGCACUCCUUAAAAUCACAACCAAAUGGAUCUUUAGAAUAUAUUAAACAAUGAUUUUAAAAAACACUUUUAACCUUAAAAACAUUUUAAAACAAAAUUAAGUGUUUGAAAAAUUUUAUCAAAUAUUUUUAAAAAUCUUAAAAAUUACUUAUAAUAUUUUAUCAAUUAUUUUCUUAAUACUUUUUUCUUCUUUAUGGUAUUAAAUAUGAUCAUAAGAAAUAAAUUAUCAGUGCCGCCGACUGCAGAUAAUCUUCUCAAUUUUCUUAAAGCUAUGUUUAAAAAAUUGUAGAAGGAAAGAGUAAGCGAAAAAAAUAAAAUAAAAUUUAAAUUAAUAAAUUAUUUUAUAUGUGUCUUUAAAUUAAAUUAAUUUAUUUUUAUUUAUUAUAUAAGCAUUAAAUAAUUUUAAAAUAGAUAGUUUUUUUUAAUUAAUUUUAAUUAUAUUUGAUUUUUUUUUAUAAUGAAAUGAAAACCCUUUCUUUUAGUAUUUGUUUUUUUUCUUUAGUAUUUUUUAGAAACUAAAUAUAGCCUUAGGUUUUUUUAUUUAUUUAUUAAGUUUAUUUUUUUUUUAUUAACUAAAUUGAGCUCUUAAUUAAUAAUGAAAGCAUUUUCUUAAUAAUGAGCUCUUAAUAAUACCAAUAAAAAAAUUUCAUCCAAUUUAAAGUUGAAGGUAAUAUCUCGAAUGGUCAAAGUAAUACAUGUAUCGUUGAAAUAUAGUAUUUAUAUAUUCAAAAUUAAUACCUCAAUUGAAAAGUAUUCAAAAUCUUAAUUAUUUUCUAAAAAAUGUAUUAAAUUUAAAUUUUUUAAAAUUGGGUUUUUAUUUUCUGAUUUGUGCAAGAGCACACACUUUUCAUCUUUUUUUAUUUAUAUAUUUAUUUAUUAUUUUUUAUUUUAACUGUUGAAUAAGACUUAACAAGAGUGGAUGAAUGUCUAUCAGAUUCAGAUAAGGAUGAUGGCACAAGCCGACUAAAACGAAAGAGUUAAGCAUGUGAGUGCCACCAGGCCUGCAAGGAAUGGUAGGUCCCAAAAUAUCCAAGAAAUCUCUAUAUAUAGAAACCAAUACACUUCACGUCUUUCCAUGCGACUCGCAAGCUUCUUGUCUCAGUUGCAAACAGGUACAAAAAUGAUGCUGCAGUUGCCACAAACCACAAAUGAAGCUAUGUUAAAUAUUUAAAAUAUUGCAGUUCCAAAUGGGGUGUUCGGGAUAAAAUAUUUUAAUGUGAGAUCGAAUAACCUAAAAGAAAGGAUGUUGCCACUGAGUCUAGAGAAGUGAUCCUUCACAGCUUUGGGCAUGGGAGUAUGAGGCAAAACCAACUUCCAGUAACCCUCAUAAGGUAGAGAAGCAUGGCUUACUACCACCACCACCACCACCACUGAGUCAACUUGACGAGUGUUCUCACUCCAUCCUCUUCCCAUUCUGGCUUUUCUUUCGGUAAGUCCACAUCUUUUUCCUCUUCAUUUUUGUUAUGAAUAUUGUCAAUCAAAUAUUCUUUCAGUUGUGUUAUUGUUAUUAAUGCAACUUAAUUGCAGGUGGAGGUGGUAGAAAGCCAUGCUUCUCUACCUUCUGAAGGUUACUGGAAGUUGGUUUUGUCUAAUACUCCCAUGCCCAAAGNNNNNNNNNNNNNNNNNNNNNNNNNNNNNNNNNNNNNNNNNNNNNNNNNNNNNNNNNNNNNNNNNNNNNNNNNNNNNNNNNNNNNNNNNNNNNNNNNNNNCAAUCAAAUAAUGUUCAGAUAUGUUAUUGUUAUUAAUGCAACAUAAUUGCAGGAGGUGGUGGUAGUAAGCCAUGCUUCUCUACCUUCUGAAGGUUACUGGAAGUUGGUUUUGUCUCAUACUCCCAUGCCCAAAGCUGUGAAGGAUCACUUGCAGCCUGGUUUGUUUCAAUACAUCUCUAGACUCAGUGGCAACAUCCUUUCUUUUAGGUUAUUCAAUCUCACAUUAAGCUCAUAAUUUUUCUUUGUCAUUGCUGAAUUUGCAAAUUCAAGGCGUAACUUCUUUCAAUGCUUCUGCUGCCAGAUGUUUUGGGAUUCACAAUCAGUUCAACAAAAUCCCUCAACCAUUCCAUGCAAAGCAGGCUCAAGAUGGCUUAAAUAUAGGUAACUUCUUCUUGCAAACAGAUCUGCACCCAGGUACAAAAAUGAUGCUGCAGUUGCCACAAAGUACAAAUGAAGGUAUGUUCUUGCCUUGUCAAGUUGCUGACUCCAUAUCCUUUUCAUCUAAGAAGUUACCCAAAAUUUUGAACCGGCUUUCAGUGAAGGAAAAAUCUGCAGAAGCUGAGCUGAUGAAGAAGGAGAUAGAAGAGCUAGUGUGAGGAGGCUGCCAUGGAUGGAGAAUCUAGGUUCUGUGCAACAUCAUUAGAGUCCCUAAUCGAUUUCAGCACUUCAAAGCUCGGAAGAAAUGUGAAUGUGCUGACGAAUGAGGUCAAAACGGGAAGCCAAGAGUAUGAAUUUGGAGUGGGAAUGAAGAAGGUUGCAGACAAAUCAGUGGUGUGCCAUAAGAUGAACUACCCAUAUGCUGUUUUCUAUUGCCAUACCUUCACUAAGACACGAACUUACAUGAUUCCAUUGGUGGGUGCUGAUGGAAGCAAAGCUAAAGCCAUGGCAGCUUGUCACAGUGAUACAUCAGCUUGGCACCCACAGCAUGUGGCUUUCCAAGUGCUCAAAAUUAAGCCAGGAACGGUCGCAGUCUAUCAUUUCCUUCACAACAAUGCCAUGGUCUGGAUUCCAAAGUAAGAAUCAGCCUCAAGCCUCAAGCCCAGUUGCAUUAUCAGUUCCAUCUUAAAGCUGUUUGUAGUAUGAAUGGUUCGAAUAAAUGCAGGUUCGAGGAUUAAUGUGUGUAGUGUGCAAUUGAUGCUAUGUAUUCAUCAAUGUUUCCAGGUUGAUUAAUUAAGGAGUAUUAUGGUAUAUAUAUAUAUAUAUGUUGUGUGCAAUAGUCCUCAGCAAAGCAAUUAGCCAAUAUUUUUUUUUUAUAUUAAUUCCAAUCAUAUGAAAUAUUGGAAAUAACCUUCACUGUUUCAUAUAUGGCCGGAGAAAGAAUUGAAUAAGAUUAAUGUUGUUGUGCCCUGAAGCCAAAC